rnacentral:lncRNA from 1 species
CUCCCCGCAGGCGGGAGUGGGGUGGGAGGGGAGCGAGCGCGUUGGUGACGCGGGGCGCUCACGUGACGUGGAGCUGCAGAGCGACGCAGCCUUCGGUGCAGUCGUCACUCCCGUCUGGGUACCUGCUCCCCGGUGUCCUGCGCCCCGCGGGCUGGCGUCAGGCCCGAGGAAAGCGGAGCAGAUCUGCCUGCAGGUCUGCUGUAGGGCUUGAGAUUACUGGAAGCAAAGAAACAAGGACGAAAUUGCCCCUGAUCAGUAUAGACUGGUCCACAGAUCUCAUGAGUUAA